UACAGAGGGGGCAAGCGUUGUUCGGAAUUACUGGGCGUAAAGGGCGCGUAGGCGGCCUACUAAGUCAGACGUGAAAUCCCCCGGCUUAACCUGGGAACUGCGUCUGAUACUGGAAGGCUUGAGGAUGGGAGAGGGAUGUAGAAUUCCAGGUGUAGCGGUGAAAUGCGUAGAUAUCUGGAGGAACAUCGGUGGCGAAAGCGACUUCCUGGACCAGUACCGACGUUCAGGCACGAAAGCGUGGGGAGCAAACAGG
rnacentral:rRNA from 1 species